CUACUUCUGCGAUUUCUGUGACUUCUGCUACUUCUGCGAUUUCUGUGAUUCCUGCGAUUUCUGCGACUUACCACCGUAUGAGAAAGUUACAUCUGUCAACACAGAAAAUUGCAUCUCAACAAACCUGUCUUUGGCAAGUACCUGAACUACAUUUCAGUCACUCAGUAAAGUGAUAACUCAAAAUAUCAUUGUCAACAGAUCUGAAGAAAUUGCCACUGCGUCUUUAGACCGUUUUCGUCAGACGAGAGACACAGUUCUGACUCUGAUUACUGGUUGCUGUACGUAUCUAUCCACAUCAAGGCUGUUUUUGAGAGAGACUCGUGAAGAUUCAAGACAGUUCUUAGAGGAUUUGCAGUUUAAAAGUGAAAUAAUUGUGAAAUAAGUGUGUGAAUGAUUAAACUGUGUUUUAUUGAAGUUGUUGUGCGAUUU